rnacentral:rRNA from 2 species
UGGGGAAUAUUGCACAAUGGAGGGAACUCUGAUGCAGCGACGCCGCGUGAACGAAGAAGGCUUUCGAGUCGUAAAGUUCUUUUAUAUGGGAAGAUAAUGACGGUACCAUAAGAAAAAGCCCCGGCUAACUACGUGCCAGCAGCCGCGGUAAUACGUAGGGGGCUAGCGUUGCCCGGAAUCACUGGGCGUAAAGGGUUCGCAGGCGGAAAUGCAAGUCAGGUGUAAAAGGCAGUAGCUUAACUACUGUAAGCAUUUGAAACUGCAUAUCUUGAGAAGAGUAGAGGUAAGUGGAAUUUUUAGUGUAGCGGUGAAAUGCGUAGAUAUUAAAAAGAAUACCGGUGGCGAAGGCGACUUACUGGGCUCAUUCUGACGCUGAGGAACGAAAGCGUGGGUAGCAAACAGG